UUGAGUUCCCAGCAUGGCAGCUAUGCACAAGAUGAGAUGACUUUGCAGAAAAUGAACACCACACCACUUGCAGUGGAAGAUAAGAUCUUUUUCCAUGUCAACUGCUAGGAAAGACAGCAGUGUACAGACUCACUGGAGAAGAUGCCGGAUACGAUAGUGCAAACAAAGGGCGGAAACCACCAAGAAACAGGAAAUACAAGCUAACACAGUGAGGAACAGUCAGUCUACUUCAGAACAUCAAAAUUGAUGUUGCCACCAAUCCUGAACUUCCACAACUGCCUGACUCCCAAACUUCUGAGUUUGAGCUAAGUCUAGACCUCCCAUGACAGCACUGCUGCCUUUCUAGUUUCCCUCUCUGCAACUGCCCUGAGACUGAUUGGAAGAAAUCAGAGAGGAGGGGACAAGAGAUUGCCAAGGAAGAGAACCCAGGAGCAUUCUCUGAGCUGCACUCUCCAGCACUGUUCCUCAUCCACCUCUCCCUUCAGAAAGAAAGAUGGGCUCUCACUAAUUGUCCAGGCUGCCCUUGAACUCACAAUCCUCCUGCCUCAGCCUCCUCCAUUACUGGAA